UUUGUCAAGAAGACUACAUCUGUAUCAAAAUUAACUGGUUGCAGCUUUGUUUGGCUGUCUGUAGCUGUAUUACCUAGAUUACUACCUUGUUUACCUUGUCUUCGAAGCAGUUAACAGGACCAUUAGUUUCUCCUUGAACUUGUUUUCAUCUCUAAUGUCCAAAGGAAUCUAAAAUAGUUUGCAUUAUCUGGGAAUUUUUUAUUUUAGUAAAAGCUCAUAUGAUAGUUGUAGCUAUGAAGACUUGUCCAAGUAUUGGAUGUGAGUUAAAGAAGACAGCUAUUUGCUGAUGAUUCCUAUUUAUUGCAAGAUUUUCCACCUUUCCCUCCUCAAUUUUAACAUUUAGAAGUCCAAGAGGAGAGGGAGAAAAGAAUGAGGGAUUUAUUAGGCAAGUAAAUGAUUGGAUCUUUCUAAAUGGUGCCUUUUAUUGCCCUCUGUAGUUUGGAGAGGUCUUGUUAUGUUUAGUAGAGGAUGUAAAAGGCCUACAUUGUAAACUGGCAUGAACAAAUAUU
rnacentral:lncRNA from 1 species